AUUGAACGCUGGCGGCAUGCUUUACACAUGCAAGUCGGACGAGUAGCGAACGGGUGGGUAACAUAUCGGAACGUACCUAGUAAUGGGGGAUAACUAAUCGAAAGAUUAGCUACUACCGCAUAUUAUUCGAGCGGCCGUUAUCGGUUUAGCUGGUUGGUGGGGAAAAGGCCGAAAAAGGCGACGAUGAGUAGCGGGUCUGAGAGGAUGAUCCGCCACACUGGGACGGAGACACGGCCCAGACGCCUACGGGAGGCAGCAGUGGGGAAUUUUGGGCAAUGGGAGAAAGCCUGACCGAGCAAUGCCGCGUGUCUGAAGAAGGUCUUCGGGUUGUAAAGGACUUUUGUUAGUGAAGCGGUAUCUAACGAGUAAGCAACGGCUAACUACGUGCCAGCCGCCGCGGUAAUAC
rnacentral:rRNA from 1 species